rnacentral:rRNA from 1 species
UACGUAGGGUGCGAGCGUUAAUCGGAAUUACUGGGCGUAAAGCGUGCGCAGGCGGUUUUGUAAGCCAGAUGUGAAAGCCCCGGGCUUAACCUGGGAAUGGCAUUUGGGACUGCAAGGCUUGAGUGCGGCAGAGGAGACUGGAAUUCCUGGUGUAGCAGUGAAAUGCGUAGAUAUCAGGAGGAAUACCGAUGGCGAAGGCAGGUCUCUGGGCUGACACUGACGCUCAUGCACGAAAGCGUGGGGAGCAAGCAGG